rnacentral:rRNA from 1 species
UAAGGAAUAUUGCUCAAUGGGAGAAAUCCUGAAGCAGCAACGCCGCGUGGAGGAUGAAGGGUCUAUGACUUGUAAACUCCUGUAAAGAAGGAAAAAAUUCCCAUUUGAUGGGAGAUGAUGGUACUUCUGGAGUAAGCCCCGGCUAACUACGUGCCAGCAGCCGCGGUAAUACGUAGGGGGCAAGCGUUGUCCGGAUUUACUGGGUGUAAAGGGUGCUCAGGCGGAUUUGUAAGUCAGAGGUGAAAUCUUACAGCUUAACUGAAACUGCCUUUGAUACUGCAAGCCUAGAGUAUGGAAGAGAGAGAUGGAAUAUCCGGUGUUGCAGUGAAAUGCGUAGAUAUCAGAUAGAACACCAAUGGCGAAGGCAGUCACUUGGUCCAUUACUGACGCUAAAGCACGAAAGCGUGGGUAGCAAACA